rnacentral:rRNA from 1 species
GACGAACGCUGGCGGCGUGCCUAAUACAUGCAAGUCGAGCGGACAGAAGGGAGCUUGCUCCCGGACGUUAGCGGCGGACGGGUGAGUAACACGUAGGUAACCUGCCCCUUAGACUGGGAUAACUCCGGGAAACCGGAGCUAAUACGGGAUAAUAAAGAGAAUCACCUGAUUCUCUUUUGAAAGACGGUUUCGGCUGUCACUAAGGGAUGGGCCUGCGGCGCAUUAGCUAGUUGGUAAGGUAACGGCUUACCAAGGCGACGAUGCGUAGCCGACCUGAGAGGGUGAUCGGCCACACUGGGACUGAGACACGGCCCAGACUCCUACGGGAGGCAGCAGUAGGGAAUCUUCCGCAAUGGACGAAAGUCUGACGGAGCAACGCCGCGUGAGUGAGGAAGGCCUUCGGGUCGUAAAGCUCUGUUGUGAGGGAAGAACAAGUACCGGGGUAACUACCGGUACCUUGACGGUACCUCACCAGAAAGCCACGGCUAACUACGUGCCAGCCGCCGCGGUAAAAC